ensembl:lncRNA
GCCGCCGCCAAGGCAGGAGUUUGGAGUUUCUGCUGUUCCGGACGGCUUGGGGGGCUCUCCGUAUCGUUAGAGGGCCCCCAGCAGCCCCCAGGUGUAAGAAGUUGCAUGAGUUGUGAGUCUGUCGUUGCAUCUUGAUUCCCAGGCCGGGGAUUGAACCUGCGCCCCCUACAGUGGAAACAUGGAGUCUUAACCACUGGCCCACCAGGGAAGUCCCAGUUAAACAUUUUUUAGUUAUAGUUUGCUGAAAGCAAGCAUCUCUUAUUAAUGUGUUUCUGUCUCUGUGAACAUUGGUGAGUGGUAAAACUGCAUAUACAAGACAACAAAUCACGCGUUCAGAAUCUGGCCCUUGUCUUUUGUUUACAUUGUCUGAGGAGGAGGAAUUAUUGAUUGCACUUUGUGCACUUGUAUGUGUAUUUUAUCUUCUUCAGUUUCAUACAUUGGUUUUUAGAUUGCAGUACUCUUAACCAUGGGCUUCCCGGGUGGCUCAGUGGUAAAGAAUCUGCCUGCUAGUGUAGGA